rnacentral:misc_RNA from 1 species
AAGAAAAGGUUAGUACUUAAUCUUCCCAUUUUCCUUCAUUAAUUCUUGUUUAGAGCUUUGGAUGAGUUGAUUUGCUAAGAAAAAUUGAGGAAAUUGAUGAGUAUUUGGGGAGCUAUGAAUUCGGCAGCCAUGAAAAGCGUAGGAGUUUGAUAGAUUUUUACAUGUAAUUAAUGAUUAGUGAGGUUGAUUAAGUAGUUACAUGCAUUAGAAUUUAAUGGUAUGUGUAAGUUUGAGGUUGACUAAUUUGAAUUGGGGCUUGAAACAAUUAUUGAAGACUUGUUUAAUUGCCUCAUUUUGGGCUGCCUUGAUUUCCAUGAGAAUUUGGUUAAUUCAUGUAUGUAAGUGAUGAUUUGUGAUGUGGAUUAAAGUAAUUAUAUAUUUUAGAAAUUAAUUGCAUUGUAAGUUUGAGGUUUGACAAAUUGAGUUAGGG